AGCGAACGCUGGCGGCAGGCCUAACACAUGCAAGUCGAACGGAAGCACAGUAAGUGCUUGCUCUUAUGGGUGGCGAGAGGCGGACGGGAGAGGUAUAUAACGGAAUCUACUCUUUCGUGGGGGUUAACGAAGGGAAACUUACGCUAAUAUCGCAUAUCACCCACGGGUGAAAGGAGUGGAUCUUUGGACCUUGUGCGAUUGAACGAGCCGAUGUCGGAUUAGCUAGUUGGCGGGGUACAGGCCAACCAAGGCGACGAUCGGUAGCUGGACUGAGAGGAUGGUCAGCCACACUGGAGCGUAGACGCGGACCAGACUCCUGCGGGACGCAGCAGUGUGGAAUAUUAGACAAAGGGCGCAAGCCUGAUCCAGCCAUCCGGCGUGGGUUAAGAAGGCCUUGGGGUUGUAAAGCCCUUUUGUUGGGAGAGAAAAGCAGCAGGUUAAUACCCCGCUGUUCUGACGGUACCCAGAGAAUAAGCACCGGCUAACUUCGUG
rnacentral:rRNA from 1 species